rnacentral:rRNA from 1 species
AACGAACGCUGGCGGCAGGCUUAACACAUGCAAGUCGAACGCCCCGCAAGGGGAGUGGCAGACGGGUGAGUAACGCGUGGGAAUCUACCUAGUUCUACGGAACAACAGUUGGAAACGACUGCUAAUACCGUAUACGCCCUACGGGGGAAAGAUUUAUCGGAAUUAGAUGAGCCCGCGUAAGAUUAGCUAGUUGGUGGGGUAAUGGCCUACCAAGGCGACGAUCUUUAGCUGGUCUGAGAGGAUGAUCAGCCACACUGGGACUGAGACACGGCCCAGACUCCUACGGGAGGCAGCAGUGGGGAAUAUUGGACAAUGGGCGCAAGCCUGAUCCAGCCAUGCCGCGUGAGUGAUGAAGGCUUUAGGGUUGUAAAGCUCUUUCACCGAUGAAGAUAAUGACGGUAGUCGGAGAAGAAGCCCCGGCUAACUUCGUGCCAGCCGCCGCCGUAAGAC